GCGAGUUUUAACUGAGCGUUCAGUUACUUGACGUAGACCCGAAACCGGGCGACCUACCCAUGAGCAGGAUGAAGCGACAGUAAAAUUUCGUGGAGGUCCGAACCCACGAGCGUUGAAAAGCUCGGGGAUGACUUGUGGGUAGCGGUGAAAUUCCAAUCGAGCCCGGAGAUAGCUGGUUCUCCCCGAAAUAGCUUUAGGGCUAGCC
rnacentral:rRNA from 1 species